UACUAACUCUGGCGGCGUGCCUAAUACAUGCAAGUUGAGCGAUGAAGCUUGGUGCUUGCACCAAUUUGAAGAGCAGCGAGCGGGUGAGUAACGCGUGGGGAAUCUGCCUUUGAGCGGGGGACAACAUUUGGAAACGAAUGCUAAUACCGCAUAACAACUUUAAACAUAAGUUUUAAGUUUGAAAGAUGCAAUUGCAUCACUCAAAGAUGAUCCCGCGUUGUAUUAGCUAGUUGGUGAGGUAAAGGCUCACCAAGGCGAUGAUACAUAGCCGACCUGAGAGGGUGAUCGGCCACAUUGGGACUGAGACACGGCCCAAACUCCUACGGGAGGCAGCAGUAGGGAAUCUUCGGCAAUGGACGAAAGUCUGACCGAGCAACGCCGCGUGAGUGAAGAAGGUUGUCGGAUCGUAAAACUCUGUUGGUAGAGAAGAACGUUGGUGAGAGUGGAAAGCUCAUCAAGUGACGGUAACUACCCAGAAAGGGACGGCUAACUACGUG
rnacentral:rRNA from 1 species